ACAGAGAGAAAGAGAUAGGUGGGAAGGUUGGGUCACAUCUUAUAAAUGUACACGGCUGCUUUUUCUAGGCAACCCACAUAAGCAACAAUUGCUUUCCUGAAAGAGUUAUGCUAUUUGUAGUUGCUACUGUCACAGUUUAACAAGGAGAGGGAGCUCUUAGAAGAUUCUCUAAAUUUGUUGCAAGAAAGUCACAGAAAGCUACCUUUCAAUGUCUGUUUGCUAUAGCUGAAGGGAAGACUGGUGGUAAACUGACCAACAACCAAAAUGAAAUAUGGAUAAACUGAGAGCAAGUAAACAAUAGGAGUUAAGAAGAUGAGGAUGUACGUGCCAAAGGGAGAGGGUAGAGAAACGAUUUCUAGCAUUCUAGGAGCUCCUGAUUUCCACGAUUGGACAAAAUUGGGAACUACUAAGAAGGUGUGGAGCUACUCACCACCUUCAUCAGAAGCUGUCAUAAUGGAAAUGGUGGAUUUAAGAUUCAGGAUUUACCUUCCAAUUCCAUAUGCUCUUUGACCACAUCCUAAGAAAGCUGUGAGAUUUCAGUAUCCCACUUUUAAGCAUUUGUUGUAAACAAGUCUGGCAGAUGGCCACAACACCUGGGACAAUUAAGCCCAAGGGAUGGUUGAGUAGUUUCUAAGGCAAGCAGAAUCUUCCAUCUGCUCAAAUGGCACUUUCGGGGUUUAAGCAAACCAGUGUUGGCUACUCAGGGUUGAUUCCCCUCACAAGCCUACUCUUCUGUCUUCAAAUACUUACUGGCUGCCCCUCUAAAAAGUAGAGAAAACAGGAAAGUAAAUAUUUACUCUAUUUCACAGCUGUCUAACUGUUGUAAAAUGGAUAACUUAGCUCUGCUGGGUUUAUCCUUAAGAAACAAGAUCAAACAGUUUUCAUGAAAUUCCGCUCACAUUUUAAAUGCAUGACUUAUUUUGGUUUAUUCUGUUCUAGAAUAUUCCAAAGCCAGAAUUAAAUGCUAAAGAAUCAGUUUGGCCAUUUAAAAGAUAUUGGUGCACUAUGUAACAGAUUGUGGCUACCAACAUUCUGAGUCAGUCUUUCCCCUCCAAAUGCCCUGCCUUCCCGUACACACAUCGAGCCCACUAAUUAAUUUUGUAUGAUGAAAUAUUGCCAGAUCGGUAUGAGGAAAUAUAUUAUUUGGAAUCUAGGUUGUUAUUUUGAAGGUUUAUUUCUUAUGGUAAAAACACAAGAACAUUUUCACAGAAUGUGCAAGGUUUUUUUGUUUGCUCGUUUCUGUUUGAGAAUGCACAGUAAGUUGGCUGGUACAAGGAAGCUCCUACAUCCCUGCAAACUUCAGUCAAAUUGCCAUGUGAAGUCAUUGCCAAGUUUUCAAAAUUGAGUCUGGACUGCUAUUCCAAUUCACCACCGUUCCGCCUCCAUAGCAGAUGGUGUUCGCUUAUGCAGAGGACACAGAUGAAGCGGCGUGGUGGAGGUAUCAUUCCACUGCUAAGGUUUCGAAUUUUCUUGCUCUCAAGAACUCGAUGCCAAAGAGUAACAAUUUCUUGAUCUUCACUCUCUGUCGUCAGCUAGUGUCCGUCUUUUUCCCCCAUUUCCUCCAUUCCACCCCACUCUCCAGCAUCACUUCCCGGUCGCAACUCUUCCCCUUCUGAACUAUUUUUUUGCAAGCACAUUGAUGUUUUGCUGAUAAUUCCUGAAUAUGCAUUUUCAGUCCUGAACCUCAGUGCCUAUCUGACUUUCAUAUGUGGGCAACCUUAUGGUAUAACUGGAAGAAUCUCCCAAAUACUGAGGCUUUUCGAAACCUGUCAAAAAGUUGAAGAACAAGAGUUUGGCUCUUGGACUCAGAUCAGACUCAGAUUUGAUCUUAACUCUGCCACUUGCUAUCAGUGUAGCAUUGGGGCAUAUAUUUGACCUAUGCUAUUUGUAAAAUGGAAAUAAGUAUUCCUUGGAAACCUCACAGUGUUUGGAGAAAUAAAUGAAACUGAAUUUAUGUUUGGUAUAGUAAGUGAUACAUGAUUAUGCUCUUCUCACUGCCAAUUUCCUGAGAGUCAUAAGCUUCCAACAUUAGAAUUACUGUCUUUGCUCCUUUACCUUCCAAAUCAAAUCCAUCAUCAUAUUCUAUUUAUUUUGAUGCCCCUUUAUUUUCUGCAUCCAUGGCUACAAGCUCGGUCCAGAACAUCGCCUCAAAUCUAUAUUUUGUAUUUAAAUUUAUUUACAUUUUUCUAUUCCUUUAACAUAAUUAAAUUUUCUUUCAAUUUUGCAAACAUGAUUUAAAUUCAACUGUGUGCCAUAGAGAUUGCUAGGCCAUGUUUUCCUUAGAGUUGCUUGACUCCUGUGUAAAGCACUGCUAUUUAAGGCUUGGGCUCUGGAACCAGACUUGAGUUAAAAUGCCACCUCAAUAACUUAUUAGUUAUGUAACUUUUAAUAACUUACUAAUGUCUCUAUCUCAGCUGCAUCGUCUCUAACAAGGAUAUAAUAACAGUAUCUUAUCUCGUAAUAGUGGUUAUAAGAAAAAAAGGACAUAAUGAAUAUAAACCUGCUUAAUACAUAGAAAGCACUUGUAAUUUUGUUAAUCAUUAUUAUCCUCAAAUAUUUCUUUCAGCAUCAGCCUCCCAUUUUGAACACCCACAAUGACAAGCUUUUCAUUUUAUAUCAAAAUGAAGCUUCUGCAUUUUAGUUCUUUAUUAACUUCCUUUUAACUGAUUCACAAUAAGUUCUUUGAUACAUGCCUACAUCCACACAUUCAGCCUGCACAUCUAUUCACUUAUUUUCCUCUCCUUCAUGGUCCUGAGGCCCCUAGUCAUCUGUGUGAUCUCUCUACAAUAUGAAUUCUCUGAUUCAGUAAACCAUAAUAUUUAUCCACGUUGUUUCACUUUCAUUUAAUGUACCUUCAGAUUCAGUGCAUUUCCCCAAAUCAUUCCCACUUUUUCUUCUAAUUUCAAGUAUACUGCUUAGAACUCCUUUUCAAGAAUCUUUUCCUUUCUACCUGCUUCUAAACAAAUCAUUCUUGCAUUCCCUCCGUCUUCAGAACAAUUAUGUUCUGUUUGUGCUAUACUGAAUCUGUUACUCCAUAAGCUGGUUUGAAUCUUUCUGCUCCAGCCAUACUGGUCUCCUGCUGUUCCUGAAGCAUGCCAAACACCAAUCCAUCUUAGGGCUAUUGUGCUGGGUUUUCCCUUUAAGUGAAAACAAUGCUUUUCUCUGAAUAUCUGCAUGAUUUAUGCUCACUUCAUUCAGGUCUCUGCUCAGAUAUCACCACUACAAAGAAUCACCAUGUCAACCUUACAUGAUUUCAUUUUUCUUUCUAGCAUUCGACAUAUGUAACUCUUCUGUUCGUUUGGCUAUUGUUUGGUUCUCCCACUAGAGGGCAGGACCAUUAUCCGUUUUGUUGACUGUUCAAUUCCCAGCUCCUAGCACAAUACCCUUUACAUAGUAGACAUUCAAUAUUUAUGGAAUGAAUACAUUGUAACCUAGCUCACCACCAAAAAUAAUUCUAAAUACUUAAAAUGUAGGGACUCUGUAUUGGACUUUUGUAACAUUCCUUCACAUAUUGCCAUAGAGAGAGAAACAUGCUGGCUUCAGAACAAGACUGACCCAAAUCCCCAAAUUCUCAAUUAUUUGAGUAAAUCCCAGUAAUUUUCUCUCUGAGCCUCAACCUCCCUAUAUGUAUAAAAUAAGCAUAGUAAUACCCAUUAUGAUGGAUAAUCUUAUAUGUCAACUAUGGUGCCCAGUUGUUUGUUCAAACACCAAUAUAGAUGCUGCUGUGAAGGUAUUUAGAUGUGAUUAACAUUUAAAUUAGUAGGAUUUUGAGUAAAGCAGAUUACCCUCCAUAAAGCAAGUAGGCCUCAUGUAAUCAGUUGGCCUUCAGAGAAAAGACCGAGGUUUCCAGAAAGAAAAGUAAUUCUGCCUCAAGACUGCAACGUAGAAACCCUGCUUGAGUUUCCAAUCUGCAGAUUCAGCUCUCAAGAUUGCAAUAUCAACUCUUCUCUGAAUUUCUAGCCUGUUGACCUGCUCUAUAGAUUCCAGACCUCCCAGCCCACAUAACUGUAUAAGCCAAUUCCUUAAAAUCUCUCUGUGUAUGUACAUGUGUGCGUUUAAUUACAUAUAUACAAUACUAUAUUAUUUUCUCUAAAAAACCUUGACUAAUAAAGCAACUUUACUUGAAGUUAGGAUUAAAUGAUGUAAUAUGUUUAAAACUCUUAUUAAAUAGUAACAAUUA